rnacentral:lncRNA from 1 species
CUGAGACAGAUUAAGAUAGGCUGAAAUUAGUUCUAGCUUAGCUUAGGCUUGCCAAGUGUGUGCUGAUUGCUCACAGCAGCACACUGGAGCCCUGCAGCUCACCUCUUCCCUUUCUGUAUUACUGAAGAUUUUUGUGUGAAAUGAAUAUAUGGAAAAAAGCAGGAAAAUGAGGAGUGUUUAAAAACACAGUGCAGCCUGAAAGGAGAGACAAAAUCAGAAUCACGGUAUGGAUCCUGAGGACAGAAGUUACAGUGACAAGUCCUGAAAUAAGCCUUCUAUUUUUUCACGACACUGGUUUGGUUCCCUCGCUGCUCAAGUAGACUUAAGGAUUCUGUAAGUAAAAAUUUUCCAUUUUGUUGUUUUUAACCUCUGAUUUAUGUUAAUAAAGUAUUGC